GGGAUUGCCCUAGUAACGGCGAGUGAAGCGGCAACAGCUCAAAUUUGAAAUCUGGCUCUCGGGCCCGAGUUGUAAUUUGUAGAGGAUACUUUUGAUGCGGUGCCUUCCGAGUUCCCUGGAACGGGACGCCAUAGAGGGUGAGAGCCCCGUCUGGUUGGAUGCCAAAUCUCUGUAAAGUUCCUUCAACGAGUCGAGUAGUUUGGGAAUGCUGCUCUAAAUGGGAGGUAUAUGUCUUCUAAAGCUAAAUACCGGCCAGAGACCGAUAGCGCACAAGUAGAGUGAUCGAAAGAUGAAAAGCACUUUGAAAAGAGAGUUAAAAAGUACGUGAAAUUGUUGAAAGGGAAGCGUUUAUGACCAGACUUGGGCUUGGUUAAUCAUCUGGGGUUCUCCCCAGUGCACUUUUCCAGUCCAGGCCAGCAUCAGUUUUCCCCGGGGGAUAAAGACGGCGGGAAUGUGGCUCUCUUCGGGGAGUGUUAUAGCCCACCGUGUAAUACCCUGGGGGGGACUGAGGUUCGCGCAUCUGCAAGGAUGCUGGCGUAAUGGUCAUCAACGACCCGUCUUGAAACACGGACCAAGGAGUCGUCUUCGUAUGCGAGUGUUCGGGUGUCAAACCCCUACGCGUAAUGAAAGUGAACGCAGGUGAGAGCUUCGGCGCAUCAUCGACCGAUCCUGAUGUUCUCGGAUGGAUUUGAGUAAGAGCAUACGGGGCCGGACCCGAAAGAAGGUGAACUAUGCCUGUAUAGGGUGAAGCCAGAGGAAACUCUGGUGGAGGCUCGCAGCGGUUCUGACGUGCAAAUCGAUCGUCAAAUAUGGGCAUGGGGGCGAAAGA
rnacentral:rRNA from 1 species